rnacentral:rRNA from 1 species
GAUGAACGCUAGCGAUAGGCUUAACACAUGCAAGUCGAGGGGCAGCAUGGUCUUAGCUUGCUAAGACUGAUGGCGACCGGCGCACGGGUGCGUAACGCGUAUGCAACUUGCCUCACAGAGGGGGAUAACCCGUCGAAAGACGGACUAAUACCGCGUACACUUGGGAUAGGGCAUCCUGACCCAAGGAAAUGAAAUUCGCUGUGAGAUAGGCAUGCGUCCCAUUAGCUAGUUGGUGAGGUAACGGCUCACCAAGGCGACGAUAGGUAGGGGAACUGAGAGGUUGAACCCCCACACUGGUACUGAGACACGGACCAGACUCCUACGGGAGGCAGCAGUGAGGAAUAUUGGUCAAUGGGCGAGAGCCUGAACCAGCCAAGUCGCGUGAAGGAUGACUGUCUUAUGGAUUGUAAACUUCUUUUAUACGGGAAUAACAAGAGCCACGUGUGGCUCCCUGCAUGUACCGUAUGAAUAAGCAUCGGCUAACUCCGUG